rnacentral:rRNA from 1 species
GGAAUAUUGGACAAUGGGCGAAAGCCUGAUCCAGCCAUGCCGCGUGUGUGAAGAAGGCCUUCGGGUUGUAAAGCACUUUAAGCAGAGAAGAAAAGCUGCGGGCUAAUACCCCGUAGUCUUGACGGUACCUGCAGAAUAAGCACCGGCUAAUUCCGUGCCAGCAGCCGCGGUAAUACGGAAGGUGCAAGCGUUAAUCGGAUUUACUGGGCGUAAAGCGUGCGUAGGUGGUUGUGUAAGUCGGAUGUGAAAUCCCAGGGCUUAACCUUGGAAUUGCACCCGAAACUACACGACUAGAAUGCGGUAGAGGGAAGUGGAAUUCCAGGUGUAGCGGUGAAAUGCGUAGAUAUCUGGAGGAACACCAAUGGCGAAGGCAGCUUCCUGGGCCUGCAUUGACACUGAGGUACGAAAGCGUGGGGAGCA